UACGUAGGGUGCAAGCGUUGUCCGGAAUUACUGGGCGUAAAGAGCUCGUAGGUGGUUUGUCACGUCGUCUGUGAAAUUCCACAGCUUAACUGUGGGCGUGCAGGCGAUACGGGCUGACCCGCCCUCCUGUAGGGGUAACUGGAAUUUCCUGGUGUAGCGGUGAAAUGCGCAGAUAUCAGGAGGAACACCGAUGGCGAAGGCCACAUAUACCUGGGCGAGUCACUGACGUCUGAGGAGCGAAA
rnacentral:rRNA from 1 species